ACAGAAAUGGUCAUUUUUCUGAAUCGGAAAUUGGCUCCUUGGAAACGUUGGAAUGGUCAAGAGCAAAGGUUUGGAGCUGAGGCCUGACUCUGAGAAUUCUUCCAGUCUCCUCGGUAAAGUCGUUAAGUUAACAUUACACAAGAUAAUAUAUGUGACGGAAGAAUUCCCUUGGAAAGGCGGCGUUCAAGAAGAUUUGUACUACAGCUUCCUGUGCGGACAAAUUCCAAUGGCGUAAAGAUGGCAUCACAAGAUUUCACGUUGAGAAAAUAGGAGUAAGGGAUUUGGAUGGUGAAUGAAGAGCAAACUGUAUCUUUUAGAAAACAAGACAUUAGUACUAGUGGCGGACUUUUAAGAACCUAGCCUAGCCCAAGGUAGAAGAGAGACUGGAGUUCGGCCUAAUAUGAAGUUCAUAUGAAAAAGAAGAUUUAUGAAAACUGAAAAUGCAGUUGCCGUACAACUGUGGCGAAAUUAAGUUACCAGAUAAGUGAUUAUCGAGUUUAACUACUCUACCUUUCCUCUGGUAAGCAAAAGGUAAAAGGUAUUGGGAUAAAUUAGUAGGUGAAAACAGUACUGUAAGUUUCUCGCAUUUUUCAUUAAACUUGGACACAUUUUUAAAAAAUAAGAUUAGCAUUUUAAAGGAAUAUAUGCCUAUUACAAUAGUAAAAAAAUUUUGACGGGUUAGACGCUGAGGCAUUGUUAGCAGUGUUCAUUCGUAAAGGAUUAUCCUGUACUAGAUGAAAUUGUCUUGAAGCUGAUGCCCUAGGUUUAGGAUGUUUUAUCUUUUUCCCAAAUAAUCAUCAUUCAUCGUUUGACCAGAAAUCGUUCCCCCAGGACGUGUCUGGUCAGUGGGUAACAGAAGAGAACUGAUAUCUGAGUCUUAGAGGUCUGAAAGUCAUGAAGAUCGUGAAAUAAUUCUGGGAAUCUUGUCAUUCUGUAACAUGACACUAAGGUAUAGAGGUGAUUAUGAAUUUGAAUUUAGGUCUACCGAUGAGCUUGCUAGAAUUGUAGGCCUAAAGCUAUAUUUUCAUCAGACAUCAGACAUAGGGUACAGUACAGUAAGUCACACAGCUGUUAUCAAAAAUCCUAUUUCAAAUACUGGAGACCAUUAGUUUCAGUUGAUGCGGCUUCUAAAACAAAUGUUAUUCUUUUAAAUAUUGUUCUAUGGGUUGCCAACUUUUAGGUUAGAGAAAUUUAGCGUAAUGUAGUGGCUUUUAAGACUGGUUCUCCAUUGGAUGAACUUGAAUUUUCUUAUUUCUGCACAUUUCUAAAAACUGCUCCUAAGGCAUCAGGAAAUAAUGAACGGUCAAUUAAAAAUUUUGUUACACGUGUGUCUUAUGUGUUUGAUUUAAUUUGGAACUCGGUUCACAAAGGUUAGUUAUUCAUUGCCUGUAAGUAUCUCUGUGAAGUUAUUUGCCUACUUCUGAAGACCUUUUGUUAAUGAGAAGUUUUAGUGAAUACAGAAAGUGGUUUAGGAAAGAUGAAAUUAGUGAAUUACAGUCAUAAGUGGUUAUUCUUAUAGAAAGUGUGAACCUUAAUUUUCCUCCUGCGGGUAUAUAUGCAGUGACUCAUCUUAGUUGUGUGGGCAAGUUAAUACAAACUCCAAAAUGUUCCGUUAAACAAAAAGAACAUAAUCUUCUUAUGAAUUAGUGUACGUACUGCAGUUAUAAGCUAUAUGUGUCCAUGGUCAUUACUUAGUAAUAGAAUAGAGAGCUUUAAAUCAGUGAAAUUGUAAAGUUUUCCGUACCUUUUGUUAACACUUAAAACACCGUUUAAAAUCAAUAAGAUUGUCUACGUACGUACUUAAAAGAGAGGACUGUUAAUCCUUGGAGUUGUAAGUUCAUAGUUAAUGACACGGGUCACAGAAAUUCUUUAAUCAAAUCCAGUUAUGUGAACUGGAGCACACAUACAUUAUCUGCAAUACAUGCGGAAUUUUUUUUGUAUAGCUAUAGUAGUUAAGGUAAUAUAGAUGGUCCCAGACUAUACUGCAGAGUUAUCUUCAGCCACAAUUAUUUACAAUCACUGAGGUUUUAAGAUUUUUGGCAUUUUCAAAUAAGUCUUUUCUGCAAAAAUGCUCCAUACUUGGCUUUUGAAAGUUUGCAGUCGGAGAUAUAUGUAUUUUUCGUAUGAAAACGUAAUGUCAAGUGGUAACUUGGUAUGUCCCCCUUUUCACAUUUUUUCUAUUAUUAAUGUGUUCAAAAGUUAAACCAAGAGUGUUAAAUAAUGAAACUGUGCGUUAUAUGAAGUAAAAUGUUCUAAAUUU